GACAGAGGGUGCAAACGUUGUUCGGAAUUACUGGGCGUAAAGCGCGUGUAGGCGGCUCGGAAAGUCGGAUGUGAAAGCCCUGGGCUUAACCUAGGAAGUGCAUUCGAAACUCUCGAGCUUGAGUUCUGGAGAGGAAGGCGGAAUUCUCGGGUGUAGAGGUGAAAUUCGUAGAUAUCGAGAGGAACACCGGUGGCGAAGGCGGGCCUUCUGGACAGUGAC
rnacentral:rRNA from 1 species